rnacentral:rRNA from 1 species
GACGGAGGAUGCAAGUGUUAUCCGGAAUCACUGGGCGUAAAGCGUCUGUAGGUGGUUUAAAAAGUCCACUGUUAAAAAUUGAAGCUUAACUUCAAAGAUGCCGUGGAAACUUUUAAACUUGAGUAUGGUAGGGGUAGAGGGAAUUUCCAGUGGAGCGGUGAAAUGCGUAGAUAUUGGAAAGUCCACCAAUGGCGAAGGCACUCUACUGGGCCAUUACUGACACUGAGAGACGAAAGCUAGGGGAGCAAAUGGG